rnacentral:lncRNA from 1 species
UCCUCUCCUCUCUUCUCUCUCAAACACCAUCAAAUCCUAGAGCAUCGUCACUAAAACAUUCCCCUAAACCCCUUCACUUCUUGACCAGAUAUGGGGUAAUCUGGUGAUUUAUUGCUUUAUCUAGCCUCCUACUUCCAUUGAUUGUUAGAUUUCUUUGUAUUUUCAAGGUAUCUCAAGGUGAUCCAUCUCAAAGUUGACCUAGACUCUUCACUUUCUCGAUGAACUUGCUCGUGUUCGUCGCUAUGUUUGUGAGUAUUGUUAUCUUUGUGCUUAUGGUUCGAAACUCCGAUUCUGGACUAGAUUUUUCAUCACCUCGUUCCAUUUUUCAAGAACCCUAAUCUCCUUCUACUUAAGUCUGUUCAGAUCCUUGUAGAUCUGAAACGAUUUUGAGUUUAUUUGGUAUUUUAUUUAAAAAUCUUCUAUUUCCCUUAUUAUUAUCGAUUUUCUAUACUGUAAAACUAGAGUUUAACUUCUUCCUGUUUCUGCAAAAAUUUUCUAAGGUUUCUAAGUAUUUCAAUCUGAUUAUCUUUACUAUUUCUUUUAACUCUUUCAUGUUGUUUGUUUGAUUAUUUCACUAUUCGCUUCAAUAUUUGCCCGCUGGUCUUUGAAAUGUCGAUUAGCAGAGGAUGAUUGAUUUUAUCCGCCUAAUUAGGGUUCUAACUUAUAGGUUUUUGCUGAGAUGGCUACUUUAUGUAAUUUUUACAUACAUUUAUUAUUUUGUGACUCCUAAUUGGUACCACUUGCCUUAUUUAGUCUAUUGGCCUGAUUUCUAGGUGUUGAUUUACUCUAAUUGACUUAUAAAAAAGGCCUAUGACUUGUUUCUUGCCUUAUUUUAAACCCUAAUUUUGUUGAUAAUUGAUGUGUCCCUAAUUAGAAGCGUCUUUCUCAGAAUCCUUCCUGUUAAUUGGUCAUGUUAAGCCCUAAUUGAUUGAUUGAUUUAUUGGUCUCUUUGCCUUAUUUGUGAACUCUUGAUUUCCUUUACCUUAUUUGCUUCACUCUGCUCAUGGCUAUAUAAACCCCAUCAUGUUUUUUUUGAAAAGACACACACACAUAUACAGAAAAAUACAAAAACACAUACAAAUCCUUGUUCUUAUUCAUACACACUCUCUAUUACAAAUCUUCCUGUUACUUGCGUUUGUUGCACUGUCCAGCCGGCUGAAAGCCAAGACUAGACCUUUGGAUCAUAUUUUCUUCACUUUCAUGUUUAAAGCCAAGACUAUACCUUUGGAUCAUAUUUUCUUCACUUUCUUGUUGCUAUCUCUUAACUGGUAUGUCUCCACUUCUGCUAUCAUUCAACAUUACAUGCAAUUAGACCUAUUUGCUUCAUGUUUGUUGAUCUUAAUCAGCAUGUCUACUUCUAUGUAAUAUGACCUAUGUGCUUCCUGUUUACUGACUUUAAACAACAUGUCUAUCUCUGUUAUCAUGUCCUACUCAAUGUGAUAUAUAGUCAAUCUACUGUAAGUAUCAAUAUGACUCUGUUUGCCCUUAUGUUUAUGUUAACUAGCAUGCUUAUACUCCUGUGAAUUUGUCCUGACCAAUAAGUUAGUAUGGUAGCUCCACAUUAACAUUUUCCUGUUGAUCCAGGUCGCUUGUCUAUUUGUUUUCUCAACUAGCAUGCUUUAUAUCCUAUUUUAAGUGUUUCACCUUAACUGUAACGACCUAACCCGUUGUCCCGUGUAUUUCUACCCAUUUUUCCCUUUUUAUGCUGUUAUAUGUUUCAAUAUGUGUAUUUGGAGAGUAUUGAGUAAUUCGGAUGGAGUUUGGAUAGAAACGAGACAAUUAGUCUCUCUAAGAGGAAGUUAGUUGGGAAAAGUCAACCGAACGUUGACUUAUGAAUUAGAGAGCUCGUAAUAGAAUUCCGAUGGUUUGACUAAUUUUGGAUGGUGAUUUGUGAUUUAGGAGCGAAAGCAGAACUAAAUUUGGAGGUCCGGUGUAGAAUUAGGCUUGAAUUGGCUAAGUUAGAAAUUUGGCGAAGUCCGGUUGAUAGAUGAUAUUUUGAUCCGAGGGUCGGAAUGAAAUUCCGACAAAUGCAGUAGCUCCGUUAGGUGAUUUUUGAUAUGUCUGCAAAUUUUCAGAUUAUUCGGAGGUGUUUAGGUUGGGUUUUGGAGCAAAUGCAAGUUUCGGAAGUUUUAGUUUAAUGUAGUCUUGAAUACGUGGAAAUUGGAUGAUUUUGAUGUUUAUGAUAGCCUUUUAGGUUGCGAGCAAGUUUGAAUGAAGUAAUGGGACAUAUUUAUGCAAUUGGUUGGGGGCCCGAGGGCCUCGGGGUGAAAUCGGAUGAUGAAAGCGAGGAUUUUUGGAAAUGCAGUAGAUCUGUUGGCCAAGCUUCUGGUAUUUCCGCGAAAGCGACUACCGCAAACGCGGUAAAUCAACCGCAGAAGCGGCCUUGGGCCAGCUGGGCAUCCGCAGAAGCGGCCAAUUCGACGCGUAGGCGGAGACCGUGAAAGCGGCUAAGGACCGCACAAGCGAUCCCAGUCGACACAAGGGAGACCGCAAAAGCGGUCUAUUGACCGCGGAAGCAACCACCACGGAAGCAGUCAUUGUAUCGCGGAAGCGGAAAUCGAAUGGCAUUAAUAAAGCAGUGUUAUCAAAUUUCACAAGUUAAGGAAACACUUUUGGACUUCGGGGAGAGAUGAUUGUAGGCGAUUUUGAAGAGGGUUUCGAGGGUUUCUUUUAGGUAAUGAUUCUUGGCCUUUGAUUAUGUCUUUAUGGUGUAAAAUAGUAGGUUAAACAAUGAAAAUUCAAGGUUUUGAGGCCAAAAUUGGUGGUCAGGGCUUGAAGCCUAAGAGAGAGUAAAAUGGUGAUUUGAGAGGGUAAACGAGCCCUGUUUUUUAUAAAUCUUAUAUGUACAGACUCGUGGGGAGACGAGGAAUCCAAAAAUAUAACUUUCUGAAUAUUUCGAGAAGUGGGCCCGGGGCUCGGGUUUUACCAACUUCGCGAUUUUAAUGUUUUUCGAAUAAUUUCAAUUGGGUUAUGUUUGUGUAGCCUAUAAUAACCUAUUCGUUGUGCUUUUGAAUAGAUUCGAUGCUCGUAUGAGAAGAUUUGAAGGGAAAGGGCAUUGCUGAC